rnacentral:lncRNA from 1 species
GCUUUGUUUCCACUUUUCGACAAUGCAGCAUAAAUCGUCAGAAGACCUGAAUAAGAUCGUGCCUCAUCAUCAUCAUCAUUUACAUUCAUCCUCUCCACCGUUAGUCGAUUCGCACUCGUUGACCGACUGCUGAUCCGUGCAACCGAGUGGACGCAGCCCUGGUCCGGUCCCACACGGCAUGUCCAUUUGACACGUGUGGACAAAAUGGCACAUCGCCGAAGACAGCGCAGCGGAUCAGCAGACUUGUCACCUUGGACGACGUUUCGCCGAGGAACUUGUUUCAGCAACUCUCGCAACACAAUGCACGGUGAACGGAGCGGAUUAUAAACUGAAGCCACGCAGCAUUAAAACAUAUCGUGUAAUUCGUGUAUUUGGAAACUUAUGUGCUUAAUUUCUUCGUUUUAUUAUUCGAGCCAUGACAGUCCUCGGCCAUGUCUGACGGGACCUGUUGGAGUGGCCACGGGCGCGUUGUCGGUUCUGGCCAGUAUGGGCGUCUGCCCGUGACCGUGUCCCUUCUGUCGCGCCAGCAUGCUUUUAUGCAACACCAGUGUAAUGAAGGACUGGACUUUCUUCCUCUCUCAGAUCCUGCCGCUGGUGAACAGGUCCAGCGGACUGGUGCAGCAGAUCGACAGCCCCAUGUUGCCCGCUGCGGAGCCCGACCUGGCUGGGGUGAGCGCAAGCCGCCCUCCCCUGAACUCCGAUCCCACGUCCGGACUGGAGCACGUCUCGCGGUAUUCUCCCCCCGAGGACGAGCUGCUGGACAGGACGCCGCCGAACGCCUCGAUCCCGCUGCCGAAAGCGCUCUUCUAUCUGGUCGCGGCUGCGCUGGUGGUGGUGGCGUUGGCAUAUGCCAUCGUGGGGCACCUGGUGAAGGACCUGGUCCAUGAGUGUAUUGAUUGGGUCUUUGGUCCCCAUUCAGUCAACAACGUCAGUAAGAGGGAUGUGAACUGCAUCACCAGUAGUAUGAAUGAGAUGGCAGAUCUCCCAUCUGCCAUAGAAACAAACUUCAUUUCCCUUGGUCACACUAACUGCCUGUAUGCGGGUAUACCAGAAGAUGAAAGGUCACAGUUACCUCGUGAAGCCUACAGUGGGACCUAAGCACAGUUGGACCUGUCAGUGAUUAUACUACACAUGGAGAUUCGCUUCUCUUUCUUUUACAGGUGAAACAUCCUGUUUUGUGCCAAACUAAUACAACAUAUAUUGGCCAAUAGAGGCAGCAGAAAUGAUCUCCAGACCUUUUUUCAAGGGACUUGCAAUUGCUUUAAAAUAUCAAACCAGCUCUGUACAGUGGUACAAUAUAGUGUCGUCUUCAUAUUCAUGUUUACUCUUAUAAUAAACAAGCUUUUAGAGCCA